GACGAACGCUGGCGGCGUGCUUAACACAUGCCAGUCGAACGGUGAAGGGGCCUGCUUUUGUGGGCCCUGGAUGAGUGGCGAACGGGUGAGUAACACGUGAGUAACCUGCCCCCUUCUUCUGGAUAACCGCAUGAAAGUGUGGCUAAUACGGGAUAUUCUGGGUCUGUCGCAUGAUGGGUCUGGGAAAGAUUGCGCCUUUGGGUGUUUUUGGUGGGGGAUGGGCUCGCGGCCUAUCAGCUUGUUGGUGGGGUGAUGGCCUACCAAGGCGGUGACGGGUAGCCGGCCUGAGAGGGUGGACGGUCACACUGGGACUGAGACACGGCCCAGACUCCUACGGGAGGCAGCAGUGGGGAAUAUUGCACAAUGGGCGCAAGCCUGAUGCAGCGACGCCGCGUGAGGGAGGGAGGCCUUCGGGUUGUAAACCUCUUUCGCCAGUGAAGCAGGCCUGCUCCUUGUGGGUGGGUUGACGGUAGCUGGAGAAGAAGCGCCGGCUAACUACGUG
rnacentral:rRNA from 1 species